rnacentral:rRNA from 1 species
AUUGAACGCUGGCGGCAUGCCUUACACAUGCAAGUCGAACGGCAGCACGGACUUCGGUCUGGUGGCGAGUGGCGAACGGGUGAGUAAUGCAUCGGAACGUGCCAUUGAGUGGGGGGAUAACGUAGCGAAAGUUGCGCUAAUACCGCAUAUUCUGUGAGCAGGAAAGCAGGGGACCGCAAGGCCUUGCGCUCUUUGAGCGGCCGAUGUCAGAUUAGCUAGUUGGUGAGGUAAAGGCUUACCAAGGCGACGAUCUGUAGCGGGUCUGAGAGGAUGAUCCGCCACACUGGAACUGAGACACGGUCCAGACUCCUACGGAGGCAGCAGUGGGAAUUUGGACAAUGGGGCAACCUGAUCCAGCCAUGCCGCGUGAGUGAAGAAGG